UACGUAGGGUGCGAGCGUUGUCCGGAAUUACUGGGCGUAAAGCGCACGUAGGCGGUUUGUUAAGUCGGAUGUGAAAUCCCUCGGCUCAACUGAGGAAGUGCACCCGAAACUGGCAGGCUUGAGUACUAAAGAGGGUCGCGGAAUUCCCGGUGUAGAGGUGAAAUUCGUAGAUAUCGGGAGGAACACCGGUGGCGAAGGCGGCGACCUGGGUAGAUACUGACGCUGAGGUGCGAAAGCGUGGGGAGCAAACAGG
rnacentral:rRNA from 1 species